GACGAACGCUGGCGGCGUGCUUAACACAUGCAAGUCGAACGGAAAGGCCCUGCUUUUGUGGGGUGCUCGAGUGGCGCACGGGUGAGUAACACGUGAGUAACCUGCCCUUGACUUUGGGAUAACUUCAGGAAACUGGGGCUAAUACCGGAUAGGAGCUCCUGCUGCAUGGUGGGGGUUGGAAAGUUUCGGCGGUUGGGGAUGGACUCGCUGCUUAUCAGCUUGUUGGUGGGGUAGUGGCUUACCAAGGCUUUGACGGGUAGCCGGCCUGAGCGGGUGACCGGCGACAAUGGGACUGAGAUACGGCCCAGACUCGUACGGGACGCAGCAGUGGGGAAUCUUACGCAAUGGGCCGGAGCCUGAGGUAGCAACGCCCGGUGCGUGAUGACGGCCUAUGGGUUAUAAACCGCUGUCGACUGUGACGAAGCGGGCGUGACGGUAAUUGGUAAAGAAGCCCCGGCUAACUACGUG
rnacentral:rRNA from 1 species